AGUGAACGCUGGCGGUAGGCCUAACACAUGCAAGUCGAACGGCAGCACAGUAAGAGCUUGCUCUUACGGGUGGCGAGUGGCGGACGGGUGAGGAAUACAUCGGAAUCUACUUUUUCGUGGGGGAUAACGUAGGGAAACUUACGCUAAUACCGCAUACGACCUACGGGUGAAAGCAGGGGAUCUUCGGACCUUGCGCGAUUGAAUGAGCCGAUGUCGGAUUAGCUAGUUGGCGGGGUAAAGGCCCACCAAGGCGACGAUCCGUAGCUGGUCUGAGAGGAUGAUCAGCCACACUGGAACUGAGACACGGUCCAGACUCCUACGGGAGGCAGCAGUGGGGAAUAUUGGACAAUGGGCGCAAGCCUGAUCCAGCCAGACCGCGUGGGUGCAGAAGGCCUUCGGGUUGUAAAGCCCUUUUGUUGGGAAAGAAAAGCAGCAGGUUAAUACCCCGCUGUUCUGACGGUACCCAAAGAAUAAGCACCGGCUAACUUCGUG
rnacentral:rRNA from 1 species